CCCUUAGAUGUUCUGGGCUGCACGCGCGCUACACUGAUGCACUCAACGAGUUUACGACCUUGCCCGAUAGGGUUGGGUAAUCUUUUUAAAAUGCAUCGUGAUGGGGAUAGAUUAUUGCAAUUAUUAAUCUUCAACGAGGAAUUCCUAGUAAGCGCGAGUCAUCAGCUCGUGCUGAUUACGUCCCUGCCCUUUGUACACACCGCCCGUCGCUACUACAGAGUGCCCGUGUCCAAGAAACGGUCGGACCUGUGCGGCCUCUCCGGGCGACCGGAGGGCCGUUACGGGGAAGACCCUUUAUUUGACGCGGGUCGAUGAAGUAAAAGUCGUAACA
rnacentral:rRNA from 1 species